UAGCAUUCAAUAAGCGGAGGAAAAGAAACCAACAGGGAUUGCCCUAGUAACGGCGAGUGAAGCGGCAACAGCUCAAAUUUGAAAUCUGGCUCUUUUAGAGUCCGAGUUGUAAUUUGCAGAGGGCGCUUUGGCUUUGGCAGCGGUCCAAGUUCCUUGGAACAGGACGUCACAGAGGGUGAGAAUCCCGUACGUGGUCGCUGGCUAUUGCCGUGUAAAGCCCCUUCGACGAGUCGAGUUGUUUGGGAAUGCAGCUCUAAAUGGGAGGUACAUUUCUUCUAAAGCUAAAUAUUGGCCAGAGACCGAUAGCGCACAAGUAGAGUGAUCGAAAGAUGAAAAGCACUUUGGAAAGAGAGUCAAACAGCACGUGAAAUUGUUGAAAGGGAAGCGCUUGCAGCCAGACUUGCUUACAGUUGCUCAUCCGGGUUUCUACCCGGUGCACUCUUCUGUAGGCAGGCCAGCAUCAGUUUGGGCGGUAGGAUAAAGGUCUCUGUCACGUACCUCCUUUCGGGGAGGCCUUAUAGGGGAGACGACAUACUACCAGCCUGGACUGAGGUCCGCGCAUCUGCUAGGAUGCUGGCGUAAUGGCUGUAAGCGGCCCGUCUUGAAACACGGACCAAGGAGUCUAACAUCUAUGCGAGUGUUUGGGUGUCAAGCCCGAGCGCGUAAUGAAAGUGAACGGAGGUGGGAACCCGCAAGGGUGCACCAUCGACCGAUCCUGAUGUCUUCGGAAGGAUUUGAGUAAGAGCAUGGCUGUUGGGACCCGAAAGAUGGUGAACUAUGCUUGAAUAGGGUGAAGCCAGAGGAAACUCUGGUGGAGGCUCGCAGCGGUUCUGACGUGCAAAUCGAUCGUCAAAUUUGGGCAUAGGGGCGAAAGACUAAUCGAACUAUCUAGUAGCUGGUUCCUGCCGA
rnacentral:rRNA from 1 species